AGAGUUUGAUCAUGGCUCAGGACGAACGCUGGCGGCGUGCCUAAUACAUGCAAGUGGAACGCAAUGAAUUCUACCGUAGCUUGCUACACUUGAAUUGAUUGAGUCGCGAACGGGUGAGUAACGCGUAGGUAACCUACCUAUUAGCGGGGGAUAACUAUUGGAAACGAUAGCUAAUACCGCAUAAGAAUAGCUAACACAUGUUAACUAUUUAAAAGGAGCAAGAGCUCCACUAAGAGAUGGACCUGCGUUGUAUUAGCUAGUUGGUAAGGUAACGGCUUACCAAGGCAACGAUACAUAGCCGACCUGAGAGGGUGAUCGGCCACACUGGGACUGAGACACGGCCCAGACUCCUACGGGAGGCAGCAGUAGGGAAUCUUCGGCAAUGGGGGGAACCCUGACCGAGCAACGCCGCGUGAGUGAAGAAGGUUUUCGGAUCGUAAAGCUCUGUUAUAAGCGAAGAACGGGAGUAAGAGUGGAAAGUUUACUCUGUGACGGUAGCUUAUCAGAAAGGGACGGCUAACUACGUGCCAGCAGCCGCGGUAAUACGUAGGUCCCGAGCGUUGUCCGGAUUUAUUGGGCGUAAAGCGAGCGCAGGUGGUUUAAUAAGUCUGAAGUUAAAGGCAUUGGCUCAACCAAUGUACGCUUUGGAAACUGUUAAACUUGAGUGCAGAAGGGGAGAGUGGAAUUCCAUGUGUAGCGGUGAAAUGCGUAGAUAUAUGGAGGAACACCGGUGGCGAAAGCGGCUCUCUGGUCUGUAACUGACACUGAGGCUCGAAAGCGUGGGUAGCGAACAGGAUUAGAUACCCUGGUAGU
rnacentral:rRNA from 1 species